rnacentral:rRNA from 1 species
UCUUCGGAGAGUUUGAUCCUGGCUCAGGACGAACGCUGGCGGCGUGCCUAAUACAUGCAAGUCGAGCGGACAGAUGGGAGCUUGCUCCCUGAUGUUAGCGGCGGACGGGUGAGUAACACGUGGGUAACCUGCCUGUAAGACUGGGAUAACUCCGGGAAACCGGGGCUAAUACCGGAUGGUUGUUUGAACCGCAUGGUUCAAACAUAAAAGGUGGCUUCGGCUACCACUUACAGAUGGACCCGCGGCGCAUUAGCUAGUUGGUGAGGUAAUGGCUCACCAAGGCAACGAUGCGUAGCCGACCUGAGAGGGU